rnacentral:lncRNA from 1 species
UCUCUCCAUCUCCUUCACCUGCUACAGAGCUCAGCAUACAGGAGAUACAAAGCACAGAUCCACUGUUGGGCAACCAUGAUGGGCCACCUGCCAAGGAGAUGGGAGAACCAGGGCCUGGAAAGGAGGAGCAUCUGCGAAGCACAGCCUGAACCAUGAAGCCUCCCCAGGCAUCAAGUCACCCAGGGGGCUGUGGACUGCGGGGGAGUGUUGUGGGGUGAGGAGCCUGGGGCUCAGACCAGCCUGCGGUAAGCAUCCUCCUACACCAAGGAGCCAAAAUGACUGCACAGUGCGAGGGCGGCGAUGCAGGCUUGGAAAACAAAACCCGCCUCCUCUCUGUCUCCUCUGAUGGGAAGCCAGGGCCAAUGGAGGGGUCUGGUUCAGGGCCCAGAGCCACCAAAACCACUUGGCUCUUGAAUGAUCUGACUUGAGGGCUAACCUAAGCCUUGUGAAAUCCCAAGAGAAUAACCUCAGGUUCUUUAAUUCUAGUGCAGACUUUAGAUGCUGUUGGAAGAGAAGAAAAGGAAAUAGUGACCCAAGUCAGUAAUUGUACUUUCCAGUAGUCCCAAAGCAUAGUUUAUAUGAGCAUCCUAUAAGAGGCCACUGGCAUCUUAAUAAAGGUAGUUAAUAGUACACAUUGCUAGUCAGUAACAGCCACACCUUGCACCCAUUUGAUAGAACCCCAAGGGUCAGAAGAUGAUCUACUGAAUAUGGCCCAGCAGGGUAACAGGAACCGAGGGGUCCUUGAAGACAGCGUCCAGCCAGGGCAUCCAAUCUGGAAUUUCCCCUCACCUACAGAUCUCUGAGUAAGAUAAAUAUUUCAUUUUGCAAGCUCUGUGUUUUGUUACUUGCAGCUAAGAGCAUUCUAACUCACAUAAUUUCUUCAGAGACACUUCUGUAAUAUGCCUACUUCUGAAUGAACUCAUGCUUCCCACACUACCCCUUGAAUACUUCUUUUACGGAGUUUACCAUUGCCUAUUUGUCUUACAUCUGUCAUACAUCUAUGAGCUCUUUGAAGACAGGGAUAGUGUCUUAUAUUCCAUCUAUUCAAAUCCCCAAUUAAGUAUAUAAAUGGAUAAAUACGUGUAGUCAAUUACUUUGGAAAUUAGAUAUUGUUGUGAGUAUAACAGGGUGUGUUUCUUGGGUGGCCCGUAAGGUCAACAGGGAGAUUUCCUUGUCCCAGAAUUAAAUGAGGAAGGUCGACUUCUGCUCCAGCCUUGAAAACUCUCGUGAGGAUGGAAGCAUGUUCAUUAUUUGUCAGUAUAAUUUAAACUCGAUUAAAGUUCCACCUCCCCAAAAAAAUGACACAAGGAAAACUUGAUAUCUAGUGCUGAUGAAUUAUGUGUUCCUGGGUCUUUUCUCCCCCCAUCUUCACUUCUUAUCUGCACAAAAGAAUGUUCUUUUUGUUUUUGACUGACUUUACCAGAAG